rnacentral:rRNA from 1 species
CCUACGAGAGGCAGCAGUGGGGAAUAUUGCACAAUGGGGGAAACCCGAUGCAGCGACGCCGCGUGAGUGAAGAAGUAUUUCGGUAUGUAAAGCUCUAUCAGCAGGGAAGAAAAUGACGGUACCUGACUAAGAAGCCCCGGCUAACUACGGGCCAGAAGCCGCGGUAAUACGUAGGGGGCAAGCGUUAUCCGGAUUUACUGGGUGUAAAGGGAGCGUAGACGGUACUGCAAGUCAGACGUGAAAGCCUGGGGCUCAACUCCGGUACUGCUUUUGAAACUGUGUGACUGGAGUGCCGGAGAGGUAAGCGGAAUUCCUGGUGUAGCGGUGAAAUGCGUAGAUAUCAGGAGGAACACCAGGGGCGAAGGCGGCUUACGGGACUGUAACUGACGUUGAGGCUCGAAAGCGUGGGGAGCAAACAGGAUUAGAUACCCCAGUAGUC